GGCAGGUGGCUGUGCAGAAGAAAAGAAAAAAGGAGUCAGUGUUGUGAGGAGCUGCCCUGGGAACUCACAGAGAGAAGAGCUGUGCAAAUAAAGCCUGACAGGGCAAGCUGGAACCUCAGGUCUCCAUUGCCACACAUGCAUCAAUAAUCCAUCGCCCAAGUGAAAAAUGUCUCUCCCUCAUGUGGACCUCCUGUUCUCCUUCUCUUUCACUGGCCCCUUACUGGCAGAAGCUGUGCUAUUUCCAAGCAUCUCCGUUCACUGCCCAGCCCAAUUCGUGGCUGAAAAACAACGGUGAGAUUUAUACAGACUUUUUCACACCAUGCAUAUGAUAACUCAACAGGAUGGCAACUCCUCCCAUCUACCAGGCAGGAAAAUAUUGGUGACUCUUGCUCCCCAUAUCUGAUUCUCAGAGCCUGGGACCAGCAAUCCACUUCUCACAGGCAGCAAGUAAACUGUUUGUUAAUACAUUUCACGCUAAUUUCAGCCACUGAUCAGCACUAAUGCUGCAGAUUUGGCACCCUCCCACCCUCAGUAUGUUAAACAGUGUGUGCAUAUUUGAUUUCUUCCACUUUUAAAAACGAAGCAGGAUUCAGGCAUGAUUUAUUGAAAAGUUGGAAAGGAAAAGUGGACUUAAUUUUUUUAAAUUACUGUUAUCUGCCAUAGGGAUAGGCAGAACACAUGAGAAAAGGCAAGGCAUGGAAACAAAUCCCUGCCCCAAUCUCAGACAAAAGCGGGGUUCAACCAUUGUGCAGGCACAGCCACUGCCCUGAAGCCAUAGUUUCCCUUAUACUAUUACUAUAAUUGAUUGUAAAAUAUGUAGGGAGAAACCUCGUGGGAAAGAUGCUCAGAAACAAGAGUUACUGCCUGUAACUCUUAGGUAGAAUUUAUGACUACCCUUGGAAUAUUUAUACUGUCUUCAGGCAUCUCAUUCUUGACCAAGGCUGGUUAAAGAGAGAUGCUCUUGGUUCUGAGAGAAAAAAGGGGGCCAGGAUGUUUUAUUGGUUUUAUGCAAGGUAUUGGUGUGAAGCCAUCCACCAGAGGCCACUUCAGGGCAGGAAGGAGCACCCUGCUAUGGUACCUUGCUACUGUCAGGGAAGGGACUAACCCAAAAACACCUGGGAUCUCACUGUGGCUCUCACUGAUGCUGAGAAUGCAGAACCGUUCCCUUUCAGCCCACUCUGCUCGCAACUGCACAGCAAAAACUGAAACCUCCACACACAGCUCCUUCUUUUCUGUGUGUACUCCUAGCAUAAGCACACACCUACUUGCUGUUUAUUUAUGGAGCUUGCUGCCACAACAGGGCUCCCACAGCCAGGCAUCGCUUGCUCGGACCCUCUUUGAUAUCCAUAAGGAGCAGAACACGCAUCCAAAGCCAAGUGUUCCCUGCCCUGUCAUCACAGCCUUCAAAGCCCAAAGGAGGAGGAUGCCUGCUUUAACAGGCACAAAACACACAGUUGGAAGUAAACACUGCUCCUAAGCUUUCUGCAAGAAGCCUCCUCCACACAGAGCUCUACAUAAACUUCUCCAAGUCUCUCCCUACCAAAACUUCAUCAAGAAAUACAGCGCCCCUUCAAACUGCCUUUGUUUCUUGGCAAAACUGUCAGCACAAGAAGACAACCAAGCAGCCACUGUUAAUGAGGUUGGAUGGUCUUCCAGGAACCCCUUCCUCAAAGCCCUUCCUUCAACACACGUGGCACCUGCAGACAAUGAAUGCAGGGAAAACUCUUGGCUUUCUUCUCAGGGCACCUUUUCCCAUGUCCCAUGGGAGCCAAUACAGCACAUCAGCAACACUCCCUUGCCUGUCAGGAGUCCUCAUUCCCACCCACCAGAGCUCAGAGAAAGCACACAGGCCUAACAGACUAACAAACUCCUGAGGAUCAGCACUAACCCCAGCAUCCUGCAGCCUGGUCACACCUCCAGCCUUGCAACUGGCUACUUAAAAGCUCACCAUACACCAUCUGUUUGCCAGGGAUGGGACCUCCAGCCAGCCAGCACAGGCAACACACGGAGAUACUGUCCCAGGAACACAGGAAACGGAUCAGAAAUGAUGUCCAAGGACUAUGAGCACUUCUACACUGCACAACAUAUCAUCUGCUAUGUGGCCACACUAUCAUCUGCUGUUGUACACCCUGUCUGUAUUAAAAGUCUCACAAAAAAUUUCUGUCAUGGUCUGGCCCUGCCCUGGAGAGUCUGAAAACUCCAGCAGCUCUGCAGGAAGUGUUACAGGCAUAGCUGGGAGAAGAGAUCUCAGACUAAAGGAAAACACAAGAGCACAGAAGGCAGUAAAGCCACAGAUUGCUUAGAGGGCCAAGAUCCACUUCUGAUCCACCAACUUUAGUUCAAGUGUGAGGCCAGUCAGGAAGGUCAGCUAUGACAGUGAGGGACCCUAAGCACCAGUGCCGCACCAGUGUGUCACGGCGAACGGAUUCACUUUACAGAGAAACUGAGCUCCACAAUGCUCUCCCAAAUGCUUUCCAGCAGCAGCGUUUAAGCUUUGACGCAAACGCUGCCACGCUGGGCCGCUGCUCCCGGCAGCUCGGGCCGCCACUCACCUGCGCCCGCACCGCGCCGCUCCCCGGGCCUGCUUCCGCCCGGCCGCCGUCACU